UACGUAGGGUGCGAGCGUUGUCCGGAAUUAUUGGGCGUAAAGAGCUUGUAGGCGGUUUGUCGCGUCUGCUGUGAAAUUUCGGGGCUCAACCCCGAACUUGCAGUGAGUACGGGCAGACUAGAGUGUGGUAGGGGAGACUGGAAUUCCUGGUGUAGCGGUGAAAUGCGCAGAUAUCAGGAGGAACACCGAUGGCGAAGGCAGGUCUCUGGGCCACUAAUGACGCUGAGAAGCGAAAGCAUGGGGAGCGAACAGG
rnacentral:rRNA from 1 species